rnacentral:siRNA from 1 species
UCAGGAUUCGAGAUUGAAACGUG